rnacentral:rRNA from 1 species
GAUCCUAGCUCAGGACGAACGCUGGCGGCGUGCUUGACACAUGCAAGUCGAACGAGAAUCUGCUGAAAGAGUCUUCGGACAAUGGAUGUAGAGGAAAGUGGCGGACGGGUGAGUAACGCGUGAGGAACCUGCCUUGAAGAGGGGGACAACAGUUGGAAACGACUGCUAAUACCGCAUGAUGCAUAAGGGUCGCAUGAUUCUUAUGCCAAAGAUUUAUCGCUUCAAGAUGG